CCCGCAUUUCGGACCAAAGGUCCGAGUGGGCGUCUGGAGGGCACAGUGGCCUGCAGAGACUCAAGGUAUGGAGGGCAGAGCCAGGGAGGGGUGAGCAUGUCUUGGGACCGGACAGCCAGGCGGCUGGCACCGCCAUCACCGCUAUUGCUGCUCCUGGUGCUGGUGCUGCUGUCACGAGCUGGGGCUCUGCAUCCUGAAGAGCUCUUUCCUUAUGGGGAGUCGUGGGGAGACCGGCUGCUGCGGGAGGGCGACGUUGAAAGCUCCGCGGCGGUGAAGCAAGCAGUACGUAGAAGUAGCUUCUACGGUGUCCAGUUCAGCAACCUCUACGUAAGUUCAGCUCCCAGAGAUGGGCACCAAUGGGAUCAUCUCCACCCAGGACUUACCCAGGGAGACUUAGUAUGUCGUUGCUGAUUUUCCUACUGACUUCCCAGCCAUCGCCCCAUUCCUGGCUGACAUCCACUUGAGUCACAGUAGUGGCCGGAUCCUGUAUGGAGGACACCUCCUGGGCUGUGCUGAGUCUGGCUGCUUGUUACCUGUGCACAGGCUUCCCCCCUACCCACUUCUUCCUGGCCACCUGGGAGCAAGUGGGCGCCUAGGAGGAGGACAGGCCUGGGGACACAUGGUCUGGAGAGCUAUAGGAUCUUACCAUCACAUUCUGAUGGGUAGCCCUGAGCAAUGAGAAUUGACAACUCUGGUAUCAUCUCUGUGACAUCCUCGACCAACAACUUGAGAGCAAGGUGUCCUACACCUAGCUCUGGACUUUUUGAGAACUUGUAGCCAAUGGAAGGAGAAUUACCCACCUUGUAACGUUCGUUGUGAACACUUUCCAGGCCGUUCUGGCAUCCGAUGAAUGUGAUUCCUAUGCCCUCUUUCUCUAUCCUGCCAAUGGUCUUCAGUUUUUGGAACUCACCCCAAAGAAUCCUACAGUGUCCAGCUGCAGCUUCCUGCUAAGGUGGGAUUCUGCCAAGGGGAAGCAGAUGACGUGAAGAGAAAAGCCCUAUAUUUCAGCCUGACUAACAGUGAGAAGUCGGUGAAGAAUCUCUACCAGGGUGUAAUGUGGAGUGUGUGACUGUGCUAUGCACUGGAAGGACAUUUAGGAGGGACACUAUCUCUAGUGGCCAGAAACUAUUUGAUAAUAACCUUUGGUGGCUUCUAAGAAAGGCGCUUGUUGAAAACCAAGAGCUAAGCUGGACCUCUGGAGCUUCAGGCCGUCCAAGAUUUAAAAGAUACUUUCUUUUUCCUGCACUAUCUGUCAGGCAUAGAAACCAGAACCAGCAGUGAUUAUAUGUUUUUGCAGAACUACUGGGAUUUGCUGUGAAAAACAUUGUUCUUGGGGCUACAUAAAAAUAUACAGUCAUAACUAA